GACGAACGCUGGCGGCGUGCUUAACACAUGCAAGUCGAACGGUAAGGCCCUUCGGGGUACACGAGUGGCGAACGGGUGAGUAACACGUGGGUGAUCUGCCCUGCACUUCGGGAUAAGCCUGGGAAACUGGGUCUAAUACCGGAUAGGACCACUGCCUGCAUGGGUGGUGGUGGAAAGCUUUUGCGGUGUGGGAUGGGCCCGCGGCCUAUCAGCUUGUUGGUGGGGUGAUGGCCUACCAAGGCGACGACGGGUAGCCGGCCUGAGAGGGUGUCCGGCCACACUGGGACUGAGAUACGGGCCAGACUCCUGCGGGAGGCAGCAGUGGGGAAUAUUGCACAAUGGGCGCAAGCCUGAUGCAGCGACGCCGCGUGAGGGAUGACGGCCUUCGGGUUGUAAACCUCUUUCAGCACCGACGAAGCGCAAGUGACGGUAGGUGCAGAAGAAGGACCGGCCAACUACGUGCCAGCAGCCGCCGCCG
rnacentral:rRNA from 1 species